rnacentral:rRNA from 1 species
UACGUAGGGUGCAAGCGUUGUCCGGAAUUAUUGGGCGUAAAGAGCUCGUAGGCGGUUUGUCGCGUCUGCUGUGAAACCCGGGGCUUAACCCCGGGCUUGCUUUCGAUACGGGCAGACUAGAGUGUGGUAGGGGAGACUGGAAUUCCUGGUGUAGCGGUGAAAUGCGCAGAUAUCAGGAGGAACACCGGUGGCGAAGGCGGGUCUCUGGGCCACUACUGACGCUGAGGAGCGAAAGCGUGGGGAGCGAACAGG